AAAUAGUCAAUCCCAACGGUUUAUAACUGUUGGGAAUACUAAGUAUACCUAACGGUUUAUAACUAUGGAGAAUACUUAGUAUUCCCAACAAUUAUAAACUGUUAGAAAAAGAUGCGUUUAAUAUAGCACUAAUCUUUCUUGGUUCGAAAAUUUGGCUCCAAAAUGAAUUUUAUAUUUUUUUUGAGUGUCUAAUAAACCAGCACAACAGUAUCAUUUUAAAGUAUUUUUUUUAAACAACAUGUUAAAGUAAUUAAGAGAGUAUAUAUAUGAAUACAUAAAACGUUGUCGUUUACAAUAGAAAAAUAAGAAGCUAUUAAAACAAUAUUAUUCAGACCGUCUACCAUUUUGGCUCGAAAAUUUCAAACCAAUGACCCCAAGGGUCGAAAAUUUCUUGGCGAUCUGAUCGACGGCAGCUCCUUUCUUCUCAACUCUCGACGAUACUGCCCAACGAUUCCCCAAGUUGAAGCCCAUGACAGCCAAGUCGAAGUUCCUCUCUAACCCUAUGUUUUGUACACAAACCAAAAAUCAAGAUUAGGAGAAUCACUUUCCCUUUCGAUCUAGAAACUCGAACUCAUUCGCGCUUCAAGACAGAAACUAGAGGUAUACUACAAUUUUGAUUUUGAUUGAUCUUUGGUGUUUGAAGAACGUAAAUCAACUUUAUUGGAUUAGUUAGUGCUCUUGAGAAGAGGUACUACCUUGAGAAAAGAAACCGACAGUCAGUAGCAAUAAGCUUCACUCAUGAGUAUACAUGUCCAGAGCAACCAGAUGGCAUCCAGUGUGGGUUUUAUAGCAUGAGAUUUACUAAAUCAUUCAUGACUGAAAAUAAUCCUACACGAAAAUUGGAAACAAAGUUUAAAAGGAACAUAUCAUCCUCUUACACUAACAAAGAAAUCAAUGAAAUACGUGACGAAUGGGCAAAGUAUGUCAUGCAGAUGAUAGCAGCAGACAAAUGACUAAUAGCAUAGAGUAUGAUGACCUAUGAUCGCUCAUGGAUGAUCCCAAUGUCAUGAUCUAAGAAAAUGAUUGAUAGGUUUGACAUCAAUCUCGGUUACUAUUGUCUUGCUUUUUUGGUUUUUAGGAAGUGAUCUCCAGCUAUUUGAUCAAAGUCCCAAGUGAUUACCUAGAGACUUAUUUUGUUCUUAGUAUAUUUUUAGAUGUUUAGAAGAUAUUCUACAAAAGAUUGCAAAAUGUAAAAACUUAA